AAAGAGAGAGGGAGAGGUUAGGAUGUUAGUGCCCCAAUGUUUGAUUCGGUGACUGGGAGGGUGACAGUGAGAGAGAGAGAGAGAAUGGGUCGUGAUGAUUUCGGGGAGAGAAACAGAGAGGGAAGGGUGGGGAUGGUGAACAGGCCCCGAGCAUGGUCCUCCUGAGUCCAGGAUUCUGAUAAAAAAUCAAUGUUUUAUUAUUUCUUGCAUUUAUAUCUGCUGGCAUGUGGUGAUUGAGAGGCCAAAAUUAUUUUACAAAUCUUUUUGUACUGUUUGGUUAGGUUAGGCAGCAUGGUCUUGUGUGUUUUUUUAAUCGAUUUGGGGAUUUUCUAGCCUUGUAUUUAUUUGUUUGCUCUCUGUUCUUCAAAUUAUCAAACACUCUCCCUUUGUUUCUCAGGAAAAUGCUUCAAUUUUCUGGUAAUCUUCUCCCCUCUCUGUAAAUUAUGAAUUUAAUUGUCUUCUCUAUAUAAAUCGAUUCAUACAUAACACGCUGCAUGUAUGAAAUUCCAAUAACCUUCUAAAGAGGAUUUUUAUGUUCAUUUUAACUGCAAUUCGUAUAAUUUAGGAGGAUAGUUUGAUAUAGCAGUGGUCAUGGGAGACUUCGUUUCGUUUAUUAGAUUAGCCAAUCUCCCUGAAGAGGUGAAGAAGGAACUUGAAGAUCCUCAUAGUGGGUACAGUUUUGGAUGGAGCAUCAAUGUCAUAUGGCUCAGACCAAUAAUUAUUUGGCCAAACUGUUGUAUUUGUCGGUUUCUUUAUGCUGGGAUAUAUUUAGCAGCAUUAACCUAUUUGAAAACUUAGAUUUGCACAAACACAACAUAAUCUUUGCGAAAGCAUGUAUUUGACUGGCAUAUUAUUUCAUAUAUAUUAACAGAUAAGCAAUGCUCUAGCGGGUGCCGACAUAAAAGACUUGAUGAGGAAGCUAUCAAAAUUUAUUUAUGAUGAAGAGAAAGCUCUUGAGAUGAGGUUUUUUUUGUUCCCUGUUUCAUCUUUGUUUUAAGCAAUGAGAAGGGUCAAGUUUAUGAUAGUUUCUAGAUAUGUAGAUUGGGAAAUUAAUCAUUAAACUAAGAUUUUACACGCACUUCCAAGGCCAUUGUGUGUGGGUUGUACUUUAUCUUUAGUCUGCUGUUUGUUCAAUCCCGUAUAUUUGGAGCAGAUAUUUGUAUCCUGAGCCUUACCCAGAGGAGAAUUUGGAGUUAAUUCGUUCUCGGAAUAUUCGGUU